UACGAAGGGGCUAGCGUUGCUCGGAAUCACUGGGCGUAAAGGGCGCGUAGGCGGCCUGGUCAGUCGGGGGUGAAAGCCUGUGGCUCAACCACAGAAUGGCCUCGAUACUGUCGGGCUUGAGACCGGAAGAGGUAAGUGGAACUGCGAGUGUAGAGGUGAAAUUCGUAGAUAUUCGCAAGAACACCAGUGGCGAAGGCGGCUCACUGGCCCGAUACUGACGCUGAGGCACGAAAGCGUGGGGAGCAAACAGG
rnacentral:rRNA from 1 species